GAGCUUCUAUUUCUGGCCAGUCUGAAACCAAACAAAAGUAUUAGUAUCAAAUACGAAGAGUAUUAAAAUAAUAUACAAUUCCAUUAAUAAAUUACAUAUAUAAUUUAAAAACUCACUGGCGGCCUCUUAAUGUCGCGUCGCCGAAUGCAGAAAGUACUGCUACGCUGGCAAAUCACAUGCUAUCGGAUUUAAAAUUUCCGACCAUUCAAUGAUGGUCCAUUUAUCGGAAAACUAUGCUAUAUGACGGUGAAAAUACCACGCAAAGGGUGGCAGGAUCAUAACAUCGCCAUUUAAGAGUUACUGCGUGGGGUGCCCCACCACAAACUCAUCAAUCUCAGCGGCUGUCGACGACAAGAAAUCAGGUGGCGGUGCACCUAAAUGAGCCGCCAUUAUUCGGUGGAGUUAUAAUGCCGCCGCUUCUUUUGGUGGUUCUGCGAGACCAAACGACCAUCAGUGUUGACAAAAUUUGAUCGGUUCCGUAGGUCAUUAAAAUCUGAAUAUUUCGGUAUCAGAGUUGUCACCAAAUAUUUUGAACUCGCCGGCGACGGCGACGAAAUAGUGAAUUCUGAUUUGUUAUUUUUAAGUUAUUAAUAAAUUUAAUUUUAUAUUGUUCAUUUAUUAUUUAUUUUAUUAUAUUAACAGCAUUGAAAGAUUACAUCAAACUAUCAAAGUAACAUUAUCACGGCAGCUGCUAAGUUAUAACUAUAUAGUAGUUAUCCAAUAUGAAGAAAUAGUAGUAUAUACUUUGUAGUAGCAUGUGAAAUAAACAGAAAGUCAUGGAUAAUUAUCUAUAAUCAUGUGUUGUAAUUAGUAAAUUUAUUACAUUAAUUAGCAUUACUAAUAUUUUUAUUUUUUUUUAACUUUCUAUUUAUAUUUUAUAAUGGUUAUUAAUUACAGUAACUCCAUUUUUAUUUUUGUUCAUAUAUAUAAAUGUGUGUGUUUGUACUUUUAUGAUUAACUUAUCAAACAUAUACGGUAGAUUAUUUGACAAGUGAUCAUAUAAUAAUCUAAA
rnacentral:lncRNA from 1 species